rnacentral:rRNA from 1 species
GGUUAAGCGACUAAGCGUACACGGUGGAUGCCCUGGCAGUCAGAGGCGAUGAAGGACGUGCUAAUCUGCGAAAAGCGUCGGUAAGGUGAUAUGAACCGUUAUAACCGGCGAUGUCCGAAUGGGGAAACCCAGUGCAAUUCGUUGCACUAUCGUUAACUGAAUACAUAGGUUAACGAGGCGAACCGGGGGAACUGAAACAUCUAAGUACCCCGAGGAAAAGAAAUCAACCGAGAUUCCCCCAGUAGCGGCGAGCGAACGGGGAGCAGCCCAGAGUCUGAAUCAGCUUGUGUGUUAGUGGAACGGUCUGGAAAGUCCGACGGUACAGGGUGAUAGUCCCGUACACCAAAAUGCACAGGUUGUGAACUCGAAGAGUAGGGCGGGACACGUGGUAUCCUGUCUGAAUAUGGGGGGACCAUCCUCCAAGGCUAAAUACUCCUGACUGACCGAUAGUGAACCAGUACCGUGAGGGAAAGGCGAAAAGAACCCCGGCGAGGGGAGUGAAAAAGAACCUGAAACCGUGUACGUACAAGCAGUGGGAGCACCUUCGGGUGUGACUGCGUACCUUUUGUAUAAUGGGUCAGCGACUUAUAUUCUGUAGCAAGGUUAACCGUAUAGGGGAGCCGCAGGGAAACCGAGUCUUAACUGGGCGUUAAGUUGCAGGGUAUAGACCCGAAACCCGGUGAUCUAGCCAUGGGCAGGUUGAAGGUUGGGUAACACUAACUGGAGGACCGAACCGACUAAUGUUGAAAAAUUAGCGGAUGACUUGUGGCUGGGGGUGAAAGGCCAAUCAAACCGGGAGAUAGCUGGUUCUCCCCGAAAGCUAUUUAGGUAGCGCCUCGUGAACUCAUCUUCGGGGGUAGAGCACUGUUUCGGCUAGGGGGUCAUCCCGACUUACCAACCCGAUGCAAACUACGAAUACCGAAGAAUGUUAUCACGGGAGACACACGGCGGGUGCUAACGUCCGUCGUGAAGAGGGAAACAACCCAGACCGCCAGCUAAGGUCCCAAAGUCAUGGUUAAGUGGGAAACGAUGUGGGAAGGCACAGACAGCCAGGAUGUUGGCUUAGAAGCAGCCAUCAUUUAAAGAAAGCGUAAUAGCUCACUGGUCGAGUCGGCCUGCGCGGAAGAUGUAACGGGGCUAAACCAUGCACCGAAGCUGCGGCAGCGACACUAUGUGUUGUUGGGUAGGGGAGCGUUCUGUAAGCCUGCGAAGGUGUGCUGUGAGGCAUGCUGGAGGUAUCAGAAGUGCGAAUGCUGACAUAAGUAACGAUAAAGCGGGUGAAAAGCCCGCUCGCCGGAAGACCAAGGGUUCCUGUCCAACGUUAAUCGGGGCAGGGUGAGUCGACCCCUAAGGCGAGGCCGAAAGGCGUAGUCGAUGGGAAACAGGUUAAUAUUCCUGUACUUGGUGUUACUGCGAAGGGGGGACGGAGAAGGCUAUGUUAGCCGGGCGACGGUUGUCCCGGUUUAAGCAUGUAGGCUGGUUGUCCAGGCAAAUCCGGAUAAUCAAGGCUGAGGUGUGAUGACGAGGCACUACGGUGCUGAAGUAACAAAUGCCCUGCUUCCAGGAAAAGCCUCUAAGCAUCAGGUAACAUCAAAUCGUACCCCAAACCGACACAGGUGGUCAGGUAGAGAAUACCAAGGCGCUUGAGAGAACUCGGGUGAAGGAACUAGGCAAAAUGGUGCCGUAACUUCGGGAGAAGGCACGCUGGUGUGUAGGUGAAGCCCCUGCGGGUGGAGCUGAGACCAGUCGAAGAUACCAGCUGGCUGCAACUGUUUAUUAAAAACACAGCACUGUGCAAACACGAAAGUGGACGUAUACGGUGUGACGCCUGCCCGGUGCCGGAAGGUUAAUUGAUGGGGUUAUCCGUAAGGAGAAGCUCUUGAUCGAAGCCCCGGUAAACGGCGGCCGUAACUAUAACGGUCCUAAGGUAGCGAAAUUCCUUGUCGGGUAAGUUCCGACCUGCACGAAUGGCGUAAUGAUGGCCAGGCUGUCUCCACCCGAGACUCAGUGAAAUUGAACUCGCUGUGAAGAUGCAGUGUACCCGCGGCAAGACGGAAAGACCCCGUGAACCUUUACUAUAGCUUGACACUGAACAUUGAGCCUUGAUGUGUAGGAUAGGUGGGAGGCUUUGAAGCGUGGACGCCAGUCUGCGUGGAGCCAACCUUGAAAUACCACCCUUUAAUGUUUGAUGUUCUAACGUUGGCCCCUUACCGGGGUUGCGGACAGUGUCUGGUGGGUAGUUUGACUGGGGCGGUCUCCUCCCAAAGCGUAACGGAGGAGCACGAAGGUUAGCUAAUCCUGGUCGGACAUCAGGAGGUUAGUGCAAUGGCAUAAGCUAGCUUGACUGCGAGCGUGACGGCGCGAGCAGGUGCGAAAGCAGGUCAUAGUGAUCCGGUGGUUCUGAAUGGAAGGGCCAUCGCUCAACGGAUAAAAGGUACUCCGGGGAUAACAGGCUGAUACCGCCCAAGAGUUCAUAUCGACGGCGGUGUUUGGCACCUCGAUGUCGGCUCAUCACAUCCUGGGGCUGAAGUAGGUCCCAAGGGUAUGGCUGUUCGCCAUUUAAAGUGGUACGCGAGCUGGGUUUAGAACGUCGUGAGACAGUUCGGUCCCUAUCUGCCGUGGGCGCUGGAGAAUUGAGGGGGGCUGCUCCUAGUACGAGAGGACCGGAGUGGACGCAUCACUGGUGUUCGGGUUGUCAUGCCAAUGGCACUGCCCGGUAGCUAAAUGCGGAAGAGAUAAGUGCUGAAAGCAUCUAAGCACGAAACUUGCCCCGAGAUGAGUUCUCCCUGAGACUUUAAGUCUCCUGAAGGAACGUUGAAGACGACGACGUUGAUAGGCCGGGUGUGUAAGCGCAGCGAUGCGUUGAGCUAACCGGUACUAAUGAACCGUGAGGCUUAACCUU